CUGCCUAACUGCCACACAGCCCAACUGCCAGAGAUUUGCAAUUACAAAAUUAUUCAUUUCCAAAUCCUGCAUACAAGCACCGGAAGCUGUCACAGAUUUUGCUCUUCCCAAAUACAAGUAGCCAGGCACUUGAGAGCUCUGGAAGUGUGAAUCCAUAGCGGCCCCACUAUAUUACAAAAAAAUAAAAUAAAAACAUAUCAG